AGAAGAUCGAUGUUUCUCAAAUCUGUUGCUCUCCUCUUUUUCUGUUAGUGCCGUUUGUCGUAGAAAACGUUAACCAAAGAUAAAAUGAGUUUUUAAGAUGGAACGAUGAAAUCCAGCAAAAAAAUCGUCUCGCCACCUACGUUUUAUACCUUCGACAUGAAAGAGAAAUUUGACGAUUCGAUGAUUCCACCCUUAUACGGACGGUUCGCACGACCUCGAAGAUUCUUAGAGGCUUACACGACGAUUUGCAUGACUCGAAUGCCGGUUUACGAGGCGUGCCCGCUCUUUCGAACUUUAGCAACGUUUGGUAGGUAUGCGCUUUCCGCUUGCUUCACAGUUCUUUCGUUCUUUAGGAAUCUCAAAGCGCAAAACCAAGUAACGGAUUCUAACCGACGAAAAACUAUUUCCUAUUGUUCGCGCCUUUUAACAACCUGGAGAUAUAAGAGAAAAAAUAUAUGUACAGCGAAUGAAAGAGUUGUUACGUGUCGGGUUCAAGGGCGUAACACAGGACGCAACACGAGUUAGACUCCUUAUACGGAUAAGCGAUGGUUCAACGUGUGUUUCGAACGGCAAUUUCAUUGCCGCGAUAAUAAUGGCCCCUUAGGACUCCUACCUACCUAUGGAUGAGAUUGGCUCUUAAUUGCAUAGAGAUAUAUAUCUUCAUUUAGAUCGCGGACAAUCGCACUACAAAGUCGUGCCUCGAGCCAAUCUCUUGUCCUUUUAAAACAUGUGCACGGUAUUAUUAAAGCACUUUAUUACCUACAUUCUUGGAGACUCACGUAACCAUGCUAUAUGAUUUACGAAUAAACCAUGAAUCAGAAACGAAUCCUCUAUGCGUUUGAAGCUGGGAAACAAUGAGAAAGGUGACGCAUUAGGAGGAUUCAAAGUAAAUGCGACCGACUGACUAGCGGUAAGUUUAGCGACGGUCAUGCGACUCCGUGAAAUCAACUCUACGACGAAAUACAGUAUAUUCUUGAACUCUGCCUGACACUCUAGAGAUGAGAUACGUUAGAUACGCUGAUCCCGGACAGACAGGCAGAAUAAGUAGAAAGGCGUUGGUGUCAUCGUUGGUCUCGUCGAGGACAAUCCAAAGAUAACUCGUAUAAACUUGGAUAAACUUUGAUGCACGCAGCACCGUAACACACCCACUAUUUCUCUCUAACCACUAAUGGGGAAUUACCUGUUCCUGUUCGAGUUUACAGAAAGCUAUAACCGGGGAUCGUCCUAAGAACACCACAGGGCGUGCGAACUUAGCCUUCGUUCCGACCUGUGUGAGGGCCACACAUCGCAUCGACAGACUCGAUCGUCGACGCGUGCACGGCUGCCGUGUG